AUGGUGCAUUUGGUCACACAAAGUAGAGUAAAAUUGCUUUUGUGGCAGCAGAAUAAACAGCAUUCUAAUCUGUGGGGGUUUUUUCUUGUGCACGUGUGUGUGUGCUGCAUACUUUCGGCAAAAUUAUCAAGCAGGACUGAACGUGAAAAGUGUUAAAGUUAUUGGAGUUGUGAUGUGAAAGCUGGGCCAAAGAGAGAAAAAAAGUAUUGCUUUUUUCAUUCUGAAAUUUGAAAUCAACAUUAUUCUGUCAUAUUUGUGAUCUGAGCUUGAAAUCUGUUAAUUGACAUGUGAGGCAGUUGCUAACCAUCUCUGUCAUUUAUAAAGCCUUUUGUAAGGGCACUGUUUUUCUUUCUUCUCUAUAUGUGGUGAAUACUGGAGUAGAGACUUGAAUUUUUGCUGUGGGAAUGUGAAAAACACUGGAAGCUGCUCUCUGCCAAGUUAUUUCCCCAAGGAUUUGCUUUACAUUCUGACAAUCAAUGACCUGUCAGGUGUAGUUAUGCACCAUAGCAAUGAUAUGAGGUCAAUCAGAUGAAAGCAAGAUAUUUUGAAAUCAUCUGUUGAUUUUCUGUGCUGCAAGACCAGCAUGUGAAUCAUGUCAGCAACUAUACUCCAUGUUUCAAAAACAUGUAAAAAUGUUACAGUUCUUCAAACAGAAGAAGCAGAGAUCAGAUCCAGAGUGGAGUGUUGGACAAAGAACACAAAGAUGUCACAUUUCCUUACACUGACACGUGGUUGGAGUGUGGUUGGAAUGUGGUUGGAGACUCCUGGCAUAGACUGACAUUGGUCCACUGAAGGGAAACAGCUGAGAACCACUUUCCACCAGGACAAAGCUGCUGUAUCCAGAGGGACACCAAAGGCAUUACCUAUCUGCUCAUGCCAGCUUCUUUCUGACAGAAGACACGGCUGACCAGCAAACUUUGGUGCUUUUGAAAGGGAUUUCCUCUUUUGGGCUCUCUGAAUGAUUUUGAGGCAACAUCAGGCUAAGAAGACCUCUGCUAUCUGACAUAAUUUUACUUUGUCAUUUUUGGGGCACUUGAUUGAUCUUAAGAUAUUAAUUUUUGUAUAUAAUAAGGCUAAAAUGUACAAAACAUGGUGCUGGUUCUUUUUCUAGUUCUUAUGACUGCUCUUGCUUUCAGUCUUGUGGAGGAAAUCUAAUGCUUCAGACUGGGCUAUUCUAU